GUCAAAGAGUGCUUGAUCUUCAACAAUUUCAAUCUCAUUUCUUUUUCUUACCUGCAGUAUUUUAGCUCAUUUGACAUUGAUGUUUCUUAAAAGCUAAAUUACAGACAAUGAAGUCGAUUUUUUGUUUGCAUUUUCUUUGCAUUUCCUUGAUAAUUAUUCCCAUCCCUUUUUCACUAGGAGUGAAAGACACAUGCAAAUCACCUUCUGGAAAGCUGCUAUGCUGCAAAAAUAGUUGUAAAGGCUGGUAUCGAACUUGUUCCUGUGCUAAAAACUGUAACAUAUUUGGCGACUGCUGCCCUGACUACUAUGAUUUAUGCGUCCCGACUACAACUACAACUACAACUACAACUACAAUUACACCUACAACUACAACAAGCAGUCCUACA